rnacentral:rRNA from 1 species
UGGGGAAUAUUGCACAAUGGGCGCAAGCCUGAUGCAGCCAUGCCGCGUGUAUGAAGAAGGCCUUCGGGUUGUAAAGUACUUUCAGUCGGGAGGAAGGUGGUAAGGUUAAUAACCUUAUCAAUUGACGUUACCGACAGAAGAAGCACCGGCUAACUCCGUGCCAGCAGCCGCGGUAAUACGGAGGGUGCAAGCGUUAAUCGGAAUUACUGGGCGUAAAGCGCACGCAGGCGGUUGAUUGAGUCAGAUGUGAAAUCCCCGGGCUUAACCCGGGAAUUGCAUCUGAUACUGGCAAGCUUGAGUCUCGUAGAGGGGGGUAGAAUUCCAGGUGUAGCGGUGAAAUGCGUAGAGAUCUGGAGGAAUACCGGUGGCGAAGGCGGCCACCUGGACGAAGACUGACGCUCAGGUGCGAAAGCGUGGGGAGCAAACAGG